rnacentral:rRNA from 1 species
GUACAGAGGAGCCAAGCGUUGUCCGGAUUGACUGGGCGUAAAGCGCACGCAGGCGGUGCUGCGCGUGGGGGUGUGAAAUCUGGCCGCUUAACGGCCAGGCGCCAUCCCAUACGCAGCACUGGAGGGCUGCAGAGGUCGAUGGAAUUGCCGGUGUAGUGGUGAAAUGCGUAGAGAUCGGCAGGAACACCCAGGGGGGAAACCAGUCGACUGGGCAGCACCUGACGCUGAGGUGCGAGAGCGUGGGUAGCAAACAGGG